rnacentral:rRNA from 1 species
UACAUGGGGUGCAAACGUUGUUCGGAAUUACUGGGCGUAAAGGGCUCGUAGGCGGCCAACUAAGUCGGACGUGAAAUCCCUCGGCUUAACCGGGGAACUGCGUCCGAUACUGGAUGGCUUGAGUUUGGGAGAGGGAUGCGGAAUUCCAGGUGUAGCGGUGAAAUGCGUAGAUAUCUGGAGGAACACCGGUGGCGAAGGCGGCAUCCUGGACCAACACUGACGCUGAGGAGCGAAAGCCAGGGGAGCAAACGGG